GACAGAGGUCCCGAGCGUUAGGCGGAAUCACUGGGCUUAAAGCGUGUGUAGGCGGAGUUCUAAGUACCUUGUGAAAUCCCUCGGCUCAACCGAGGAACUGCGCUUGAAACUACCAGACUCGAGGGAGAUAGAGGAAAGCGGAACUGAUGGUGGAGCGGUGAAAUGCGUUGAUAUCAUCAGGAACACCGGUGGCGAAGGCGGCUUUCUGGGUCUUACCUGACGCUGAGGAACGAAAGCUAGGGGAGCGAACGGG
rnacentral:rRNA from 1 species